UUCAUAAUGGUGUGUGCUCAUCAUGGCUGCAUUCAAGAAAAUCUGAAGACAAAAUUUACUGCUUUGUCAGGAAGGCUCCUGCUUUUAAUUUUCCAUUAUCCUCAUCUGCUUCCAUAAUAAUGGUGGGAACCGGGUCAGGUAUUGCACCGUUUCGAUCUUUCUGGCAACAAAGAUUAUUUAAUAUGUUACAUCAGAGCAAGGUAAAGUUUGGUAAAAUGUUUUUAUUCUUUGGUUGUCGAAACAACUUUGAUAAUAUUUAUGGCAGAGAACUAGAAGAUGCAAAAUGUCAAGGAGCUUUAACCAAAGUGUUUGUAGGAUAUUCCAGAUUAUCUGGAAAGCCAAAGACUUACGUGCAAGACUUAAUAAAUGCUAAUUCAGAGGUAAUCUUGAAAUAUUUUAUUAAAAAAGAAGGUCAUAUAUAUGUGUGCGGUAAUGUUAAUAUGGCAUCAGAUGUUCAAAAAACCAUAAUAAAUAUCAUGAUGGACAAUUUAAAAUAUAGUGAGCAAG
rnacentral:lncRNA from 1 species